UAUUUUGCAACAGAAAGGAAAUUUGAUGGAGAUAGUGGACCCAAGGUUGGAGUCUGAAUUCAACAUAGAAGAGGCUGAAAGGAUGAUUAAAGUGGCUCUUUUAUGCACCAAUGCAUCGUCAAUGCUAAGGCCAACAAUGUCAGCUGCACUGAGUAUGCUUGAAGGGGAAACAAGUAUUGAGGAAGUCACUUCGGAUCCUAGCAUUUAUGAUGAUGACAUGAGAUUUAAACCCUUAAAGGACCAUUACCAGCAGAUGCAACGCCAGAGUUCAGGCAGAAGCCAAGCACCAAUUUUUUCAUCAGAUAACACAUGGGUUGGAUCUUCCACUACCACUGCAUCUGCUUAUGAUCUCUACCCUGUCAAUCCUGAGUCCAUUAAUUUAGAAGUUAGUGAAACUUCAUCCCUUUCACGGUAGUGUUGCUUCUCAUAAGCAAGGUAGUUUCGGAACUUCAUAUGGUUUAGGUACUUCUUAUUAUAUUGAUGUAACAUAAGUUUCUUCAUAUGAAACAAGUAAUAUAGGGAAUGGAAAAUUGUGAUGUGUAUGUAACUUAUUAAGCACACAAAUAAAUAUAAAAAAAAAAUUAUUCCAUAUAAAUAAAUUUUGCACCAUUAAGUGUCUGCUUCUAAGUCCAUCAUACUUCAUAUAUAUAUUUCUCCCGAAGUUUCUGCACACCAUUGUAGUCCCAUUGCAUAGGUCGUUAGAAGGAUCCAGGUCCCUCAGGAUUAUUUUUGGAUAUUUCACUUUCACUUCAAGCUUGGACAGAGGCAACACAGCUGUAACAAAGUGUUCAGAAAUUCCUCUUGGCAGCAGUUAUUUGUGUCAUCGAUCACGAUGUUGCUUUCACCAGGGAACAUGUUUGUCAUCUUCAGUUUCGAGUUAUCCACGUAUUCGUUUUUUGGUGCCAUGAUUGUACGGCUUGUUGCGUCGAGCUUGCAUUCUCUUGCAGUGGUGGAAUUACUGCAUCAUUUAGUGCCCUUCCACAGCUAUUAUCAUUUGGUCUAUUGGAGAGAGCAUCAAACCUUUUUGCUAUAACG
rnacentral:misc_RNA from 1 species